AUUUUAUGUAAUGUUCAAUUUUUGUGUUUACUGGUUCUGCAUUUUCCUUGUGUAGAUGAAGAUCCAAUUUGGAGAUGAAUAUAUGGGUAGCUGGGCUGUGGAAAGCACAGAGGAAUGAAGUUACUGGAAUGGGAAAAGAGACAUGUUCCAGGGAAGAGUUUGUUACUUGUGCUGUGUGGUUUAAAACCUGCUGUAGUUUUCCACAAGCUGCCUACGUUUCAGAAUGCGGGAGGAACAAAUUCAGAAGUCAGCGGCUAUCAUUUCAUGUCUUCGUAAGCAAGGCGGUAGGCAGGCGCCAAACUUGUUAUUCACCUUGACCAUCUUGUGGUCCUGGCUCUGUCCCACUGACGUGUGGGAUGCCUGGAAGGACAGGAGUGACGAUCACAAGACAGUGUCUUACUCAGGGCCUUGUACUGAGAGAUGCUCAGGGAAGAUUUGACACUAGUCUUCAUUUUAUCGAGCUGGAACACAUCUGCAGGAAAUCUCCGGUGCUUUGAACAGCAGCCUUCAAGUAGUCCUGCAGGGUAGCUGUUUCCUGUUCUUGCUCAAGCAGGGGACAGACUUGUCUCUGAUGGUGCAAGUAGAGAACAGCCAUUGUCCAGUGUGAUGGUCCUGUUCACUCCCGCAGGGCGGCACAAUACGUGUACUCCCCAGGAAUUGCAGAUGAGGCAAGCGUUGGGGUGAAGACUGUGUGGGGGCCUGGCGGGCUGCACAGCUGUAAGCGCCCCGUCCCUCAGGGGCCAUUCGUUCAACUCCAUUGCUGCUGACCUCUGAUUUUCCUGAAAUGGCACGCAGACACAGCGACGUUACACGAGGGCCGGAAGUCUGUAGUGUUACCGCGAGGGCCACCCGCUCGUCUCCUCUGAUGCUUCCUGGAUCAGGUCUUGCUGUCAUUUCACGUGGAAGACAUCACCUGUACUUAGAAUCACACUGAGAUCUUCCAGCAUGAGUUUUCCUAUUACUGCAUAUUCAUUAAUAAUCCAACCCUCCAUGUAAUUGCUAUUGAUUCUCACAGAGUAGACAUUUAGAGAUUUAGUUGACUUUAUUUAAAGUCUAAAUUUAGAAAUUCUUGGUAGGUGAAGCAUGUUUGUUCAAGGGUCUGUAAUCCAGUAAUUCAACUCCUGUUCUUUCACACAUAAAAUUAAUCCUUCCCAGUAGGUACUAUUGCCUGACUGGAGAAGGUUGAGAGUUAUUGGCAGAUGGCUAUCUGUGUUGUUCAUUGGUAGUUUAUUUUUUUUUACUUGAACAAGUCAAGCAUUUUGGUAGGAGAAUAUAUUUUGCUGAUUCUAUCAGGUUUCCUUUGGCUGUGUUCCAAUUUGUGAGCUUAGGGGGCUUCCUGUGGACAAUAAUUGUGGUUGAUGUGGAGGAAGGAUGAAAUAUAUUACCCUCACCUUUUCAGAAAAAAAAGAAUGUGGCUUUCUUCCCUCCUCUCCAGCCAGCUGUCAGAUUUGAAUGCCUGCCCUAGUUUGCCCUGUCAUAUGUUGUGUUAGUGGGCUGAGUGAUGGGAGCUGGCACCAGCCCUUUAGCGUGAUUGCCAGUUGCCAGACACACCCUACAACUCUUGUCACAGAUAUCUAAGGAAACCGGAUGUUAUGGCUUGUGUCUAGAUUCCCCCCAAAGCCUCAUGCAGUCGUAGCUGGGGAGUUUCAGAGGUGGCUGGAUUAGGGUGAAUGUGGAUUAAGAGUGUGAUACUGGGAUUAACUGUGUGAUGCUGGAAUUAAGCGUGCCCUACCCUGGGGUGGAUGGAACCACCCCAAAGGCUUACAGUCUUGAUGGAAUAUAAAAGCAGAAAUGGAAGACAGGCUAAUGCAGCUUCUGCUUACUGCUGCUCUGUUGCUUUGCUGCCUUCUGCUUGCCUUACUUUGCCAUGAACUGUUUGUCGUCGUAGUCCCCCUCUGCCGUGUCACCCUGCCCGGGAGCCAGCCAUGGACUGAAACCUGUAUGAAAUGUGAGCCGAAAUAAACCUUACCUCAUCUCACUUUGGGGGUUGAGUAUUUUGUCUCAGCAGUGAAUAAAGUCACGAAAACACAGGGCAACAGAUUUGCCUUUGGGUUUCAG
rnacentral:lncRNA from 1 species